UAGAGCUGCAAUGUAAGCAUUGCAGAGUUUCUGAAACUGCAAUGUUUUACACUGCAGUACUA
rnacentral:miRNA from 1 species